AAGCAGCUGGUGGGGCGGCCAGCAGAGCAGAAUAGCAGCUGGCGGGAGGCCAGCCAAAUCAAGUGGUCACAUGGCAGAGCAAGCAAAAUGCCCUCUUCCCUAGGUGGGAGGUGAACUCACACAUAUGCACCUCUGAAGCCUGGGUCCUCACGGACCAAGGACAACCGCUGUGAGUGGGGUAUGGUGAGGCAGCAAAGAGGAGCACAGUAAAAGAAUUUUUGGUUGUAGAAGUCAAGAACAUGAGGUGGAAGAUACUGCCCCACGCACUCUGAGUGCCACAGGUUGCCCACCACUGCUGUAUAUGAUGGAAACCACAUCAAGCCAAGAGGUGUGGGAGCACUCCCAGCAUCCCUAGUUCCAGCACCUAUGCUACUGGUGUCCUUUUUUAGUGAGUAACAAACUAGGCUUCCUCCAAGCCUGAAAAUAUACCUCCAGGGAAGCUGAGAAAAGUGGAAUUUUGAUAAUGGAUCCAUGACCAUAGCCAUGACCCCACUGACGACACCUCCACCCUCCUCUGACCACCACUUGCACUAGCACCUUCUAGAAGAGACAAAGGAAGGAGAGGAGAGGGACUGGAUGGGGUAAACAGAAGGUGAUUUUUCUUCUCCUGACUGGUUGCAGAUUGAAAGUAAUGCCUCGCCCAACGGGUUCCUGGUCCACCAUUAGGGAUUGAAGGUGUUAGAGCAGAAUCAGUGCCAUUAAGGACCCCAUUCCAAGGUACUUAAGAUACAUGCUAUCCCCAUCUGAUGUCUGCAAGAAACUGUCUGACCUGAAAGUGAAAAUAAAAGCCAGAAAGUACUCCACCCUGCCAUGCUUCCCGUGGGAGACAGUGUGCCAGCUAUUCUUCCGAAAGUUAUGUGAUAACUACUUGAGAAACCAGCUCUUGAUGCUGCCAGUCUUGUGACUAUGACGUGUUUCCAAGGAAGAGAGCCACUGGGAGAAGUGGAGCUGAUAGUGCCCAAUCUGGAAGACUCCAACUACGAGCCAGAACAUGAAAGGCCCACAGAGCCUCCAGCUACGAGCCAGAACAUGAAAGGCCCACAUGAAAGGAAGGAGUAAGUACAGAGAGAAAAGAAAGGCUACAGAGGGUAAGGAAAACUGAAGAGAGCUGGUGAUGUGUAAGGAGAUAGCAGAGGAUUUCUUUUAAUAAGUUCUUUAUUUGCCACAUUGUGGAACUGACUAUGAAUGGGGGACAGUUGAAAGUCAAAUUAAUAGACAUCAGAUACUGCAAUGAAAAUAGUGGUGUGAUGGGGAAACAG